rnacentral:rRNA from 1 species
GACGAACGCUGGCGGCGUGCUUAACACAUGCAAGUCGAACGGAAAGGCCCUGCUUUUGUGGGGUGCUCGAGUGGCGAACGGGUGAGUAACACGUGAGUAACCUGCCCUUGACUUUGGGAUAACUUCAGGAAACUGGGGCUAAUACCGGAUAGGAGCUCCUGCUGCAUGGUGGGGGUUGGAAAGUUUCGGCGGUUGGGGAUGGACUCGCGGCUUAUCAGCUUGUUGGUGGGGUAGUGGCUUACCAAGGCUUUGACGGGUAGCCGGCCUGAGAGGGUGACCGGCCACAUUGGGACUGAGAUACGGCCCAGACUCCUACGGGAGGCAGCAGUGGGGAAUAUUGCACAAUGGGCGGAAGCCUGAUGCAGCAACGCCGCGUGCGGGAUGACGGCCUUCGGGUUGUAAACCGCUUUCGCCUGUGACGAAGCGUGAGUGACGGUAAUGGGUAAAGAAGCACCGGCUAACUACGUGCCAGCAGCCGCGGUGAUACGUAGGGUGCGAGCGUUGUCCGGAUUUAUUGGGCGUAAAGGGCUCGUAGGUGGUUGAUCGCGUCGGAAGUGUAAUCUUGGGGCUUAACCCUGAGCGUGCUUUCGAUACGGGUUGACUUGAGGAAGGUAGGGGAGAAUGGAAUUCCUGGUGGAGCGGUGGAAUGCGCAGAUAUCAGGAGGAACACCAGUGGCGAAGGCGGUUCUCUGGGCCUUUCCUGACGCUGAGGAGCGAAAGCGUGGGGAGCGAACAGGCUUAGAUACCCUGGUAGUCCACGCUGUAAACGGUGGGUACUAGGUGUGGGGUCCCUUCCACGGGUUCCGUGCCGUAGCUAACGCUUUAAGUACCCCGCCUGGGGAGUACGGCCGCAAGGCCAAAACUCAAAGGAAUUGACGGGGCCCCGCACAAGCGGCGGAGCAUGCGGAUUAAUUCGAUGCAACGCGUAGAACCUUACCUGGGUUUGACAUGGAUCGGGAGUGCUCAGAGAUGGGUGUGCCUCUUUUGGGGUCGGUUCACAGGUGGUGCAUGGCUGUCGUCAGCUCGUGUCGUGAGAUGUUGGGUUAAGUCCCGCAACGAGCGCAACCCUUGUUCACUGUUGCCAGCACGUUAUGGUGGGGACUCAGUGGAGACCGCCGGGGUCAACUCGGAGGAAGGUGGGGAUGACGUCAAGUCAUCAUGCCCCUUAUGUCCAGGGCUUCACGCAUGCUACAAUGGCUGGUACAGAGAGUGGCGAGCCUGUGAGGGUGAGCGAAUCUCGGAAAGCCGGUCUCAGUUCGGAUUGGGGUCUGCAACUCGACCUCAUGAAGUCGGAGUCGCUAGUAAUCGCAGAUCAGCAACGCUGCGGUGAAUACGUUCCCGGGGCU